UCGGGAAAAGGGGGUAAAACAGGAUCCACGCGUACGAAGUCGCGGGCGGCCGCUAGUUUAAUAUAAACCUUUAUUACGGCAUUCGAUGUUUUCGUACAUACUAAGUUAUGAAAUAACUAAUAUGAACUGCCAACCUGUCACUACUUAAACAAUGUUAACCCUUGGCAUGCCUGGUAGGGUCUGUCAGACCCAUACCAACGCGCGAACCGUUGUAGUUCGUUUAAAUUUGAAUUUUGCGCCUCACCGUUUUUAGUAGCUGGCCGUUACUAACAGCGGAAUGCAGUCCGCCCGCUUCCCCAGUCCGCGGCGAGCUACGAGCGUAAAAGGAAGUGCAUAAAGUGCGCGCGGGUCCCGCAGACCCCACCAGGCAUACGGCGUGACUUUAUUUUUUUAAUCAUGAAUAAACACCUAACAGACGAGGAUAUAUAACUAGUUUAUUAUUCCAAGAGUUGAAUAAGGAAGACUUAGUUGCAUUUGAUUCAAGUGGAGAAGAGUUUGACGUUGCUCUAGAGCAGUCUUUCCCAAAGUGGGCGAUAACGCGCCCUUGUGGGCGCUGCAGGCUUAAAGGGGGGCGGUAAGAGACCCAGAAAAGAAAUCGGGACGUUGUGUAGAGGCUUAGGAGGCGUCAUCUACUAGGAGGACUCUUAGACACCGACUGAGCUCGACUCUCGACUACAAAAAUGGGGGGCGCUAAAAAUUAUUUAAUCUCAAAGUGGGCAGUAGACUAAAUAAGUUUGGGAACCGCUGCUCUAGAGGAUGAAGAAGCUGUUUCUGAGGAGGAAGAAAAUGAUGCAGGCUCCACCUCUUCGGAUUCUGAAAUGGAUGUGCCUCUGUCCAUCCUUGCGACUACACACCACAUUUGCAAUCAAGAAAAUCGAGUAUUCGCCUUUCCACUGAUCUUUGUUUUACAAAGAUAGAGAAUACCGUUAAAAAAAUCAACUCCUGGAAUAAAGCGCAGAUGCCACGUCUGUACCGCGAAAAAAAAUCGGAAAACCCAGUACAUUUGUGAGACAUGUAGUAGUCACAUUUGUCUUGACCACUCGAUUUUUCAAUGCGCAAAGUGUUACCAAACCAAAGCUUUACAAAGUGAUGAAGACUAAUUAUUUUGUUAUUUAGAUUAAGUAUAUGAUAGAGCCUUACACUGGAUUAAAGUCUGAUUAAGAUCUCAUUACUUUUAAUACUAAUUAUAUGUUAACAAAGUUAUAGUCUCGAAAUGUUGCUUAAAAAUGAGUAUGUGUGUGUAGUAUGAGUAUUAAUUUAUAUAGUGAUUUUUUUUACUAUCUCUUUUUUGCCCUUUAAGCAUGCGUUUUGAAUCAUUAAAUCACCUUACAUAAUAAAAUUUAUAGAAAAAAAAGCUAUUUUGAAAUCGGGGUCUGACAGACCCACCAGGCAUAGCGUGUAACUUAUGCCCACCAGGCAUGCCAAGGGUUAAGAAAAUUUCAUAGGGUAGAGAAAAAAUUGUUUAGUGUUUAACAUCUUAGAGAAACAAUUUCUUCACAUACAUAUUUGAGGACAUAACAAGUAAAAAUAAGAAGAAAAUGUAUCAGGGAUUCCUAUUUAUUACUUAUUUAUUGUAUUAACUAUGGAUAAUUACAUUGGUUUUUAAAUGACAUAAAAAAAGAAUGCCAUACAAUGUGCUAAUUACAAUAUUU